rnacentral:lncRNA from 1 species
GUGGCACCAGGUGUUGCCUAUUAGGUUUCGCAACCCAGUGUACCUUCCCAGUCCUAUGUUAUAUCUCAGAAAGGAUGAUCAAGAAUCAUCUAUGGAUCAGCAGUGAUAGAUACAGAAGAAGAACCUGUGGGACUUUAUUAUCCAGCAGGUAUGGAUGAUAAGGAUCACUUGUCCAACAAGAAACACGUUGAUUUCAUAGGUGGAUUUGACUCUUACGGCUAUCAAGGCCCACAGAAGACAUCUCAUCUACAGUUACAGCCCAUGUAUAUGUCAAAGUAACAUGGAGACUACUCAAGAUGGGCUGGAGGACCUGUCAAAGAAACUGUUUUGGGAUUGCCCCUUGGUUCUUCAAAGAGCAAAAAAAAUCAUUUUUUUGUGCUAAAAAAUAAAAAAUAAAAAUAAAAAAGGCUGAUUGAACA